AUGUUUAGACUCCCCAUAUUCCCCAACCCUAAUCGCUCCUCUUCUUCCGGCUCCCAACCCCACUCCGGCGAGGGAUGCCCACUGCACAGCACCUGCUCGAUGGAAUGCCUGACGGGAUGCGUUGCUUAACGCAUGCUCCUAUCAGCAACGGAAUCAGUCUGAAGCUAGGAGCUAGUGCUAUGCCGCUCGCUAUGAUUGAUACUGAAGUUCAAUCCCUGGCCCCAUGCCAUGCUCGUUGCCCCCGUUUCAGUUGUUUGCUCCACGGGUGUAGCGGUGGGACCGCGUCGAGUACUCCUUGACAAGCCUGGAGAAUUCAGAGUUCUCGUUCUUCAGCAAUUUCGACGGCGUGUCGUAUUCAACGAUCCUUCCUUCUCAUCAUAAAAUAGUAUGGAUUUUAAUAUCACUGCAGCUAGGUCCUCCAGUAACAUGCAGCGGACUGGUGUUUGUUCAUUGAAGCUGAGUCUUACCUUCACUGAAGACAAGGAUGAGGUCGCUGUCAACAACCGUGUGAAUUCUGUGCGCUACUGUCAACACUGUGCAGUCCCCAAACUCUUGGCGGAUGGUUUGUUGGAUAAUUGCAUCGGUGGAGGAGUCGACUGAAGCAGUUGCCUCGUCGAGUACAAGGAUGUUGCUUCUCUUUAGCAGAACCCUACCAAGGCAAAACAGCUGCCUCUGGCCCACACUCCAGUUUUCCCCAUUCUCCACAACUGCAGGGGUUAUCCCAUUUGAUUAUAGCCUUGUCGAAGAUAUCCUUACCUACAGGCUAUGAUGUCAACAUUGUCGAUUCCGAUUGUGCCUUCCCGUGGUUCAACGAUCCGGAAAAGUGCUUGGAUAAAAGUUGACUUUCCACUACCGGCCAUAACUCAUGAUUCUUUUUCACAUACCUCCAAGCAUCUUAUAUUGAUAGCUCCAUCUUGCGGCCAGCUAUUUGGUGGGCGGCAGUAGUCAACUACUAGAGGAGCCUCACUAGGUAUCCUUGAAUACUGCAGUAUUCUUUCUACUGAUAUCAUUUUGUUCUCUAUUCUGCUAAUGUUCCAAAUCAUAGACGUCAACUGACUGUUGAGGUUCAAUGCAUAAGUCACUGCAAGUCCAGCAAUGCCUGCAUUUAUAAUUAUAUUAGUUUGAAAAUCACUAAACAUAGGACAUAUUGAGUAUUCUGUAAUCACCAAGAGUUAUGGAUAUAUAUACAUCUUACUUGGGUUCAAUAAACCAUGAGGAAGGCUGACUAGCAGAAUCAAACAAACCGCAAAGACAAGAGUGGAUAGCAUGGUUAGCCUGAGAGAGAGCCACUCCAUGGAACCGAUGUUAUGGAACCAUGGUCUGGAGUGAUUGUCCAAAAGACUAAGGUUUGCUUUUCUGAAACGAUCUUUUUGUCCAUAUGCUCUAAUACUCGGCGCUCCGGAAAGUGACUCCGCAAAAUGGUGUAGGAUUGGAGCCCUUUGGAUUUUGUACAAACGAGCCAGCUCUCUUGCUGCCGGUAUUUGGUAGCGCUGCAUAUUGUACAAAUAGGUGUGGAGUCAAAGAAGGACAUUGGGGCACGCAGGAUGCACCGGGUCAUGUUCUUGAACAGUUUUUCUGAUGUUAGCAGACCGAUUAGUGAUGUGAGCAUGGAGCGGGCGAAGAUACAUAAUGCACUUCCCAUAGAUAGUGCUAUAUACACAGAGAAAAGGAGGCCUAAUCCGACUGUGGGGUUGGUUGCAGAUGAUGGAGGGGAUGCCCAUGCCAUCCAAUAGUUGCUUGCUACCUGAAAUAUUUGGAAUAAUAACUGUGCAGCGAUUGUUAUUGGAACUAAAGCACCACCAUGAACUGUCCUCAGGUACACCCAGUAAACUUUCUUGCCAAUGCCUCCCUUUUCUCUCUCCUCAUCUUGUGUUAACCUCCCUUUCUCAUUGGUUUCGUGCGAGACAUCGCGUGCUGGCUCUUGUUCUGUUAUGCCUUGAAGCUGAUCAUCUGCUCCAUUUUCUGCAUCGAGUUCAUCUUCUCUAUAUGCUGAUUUCUGGUUAUCAGAGGAUAUUCUGCUGGAGCUCUCAGCACUUACGACAGAUUCUAGAGCCUGGCUAUGGGCUCCGACUAUAGCGUCGAAUCCUAUAUUCCUUUCAAGGAGUUCAUCAAAUUUCCCUUUCUGCACAAUCUUUCCACCCUGCAUCACCUGUGCUUGUAUCCACAUGAUCAGUUACUUGGCAUCUUUACCUUUGGUCUUUGGACAUAAUUAGCUAAACAAAAAAGUAUUUUUGGCACCUACCAGUAUAAGAUCUGCAGCUGGAAGAAAUUCAACUUGGUGGGUCACAUACAGUACUGUUUUGUCUUUGAGGAUUCCCAUUACACAAUCCUGCAUGAUCCAAUUAUUUAUUUACUUAGAAUAUGUACUGACCAACUGCUGUCCUAAAAGUCCUAAAUGGUGAACAUAUGAAAUUCACAGUACAUAAUUGAAAUAUAUUUAUGCAUUUCUUGGAACUGCAAAACAAACCUUGAAAAUGUGACUUCCAGUGUGAGCAUCUACUGCACUAAAAGGAUCAUCAAAGAGGUAAAUAUCAGCGUCCUCGUAUAUUGACCUUGCAAUCUGAAUUCUCUGCUUCUGGCCACCGCUCAUGUUAAUUCCUCUUUCACCAAUCUCAGUGAAAUCUCCAUUCGCAAACAUUUCAAUAUCUUUAGUCAGUGUGCAAGCUUGUAUUAUCCUUUCAUACUUUUCCUUGUCAUAUGGAUUUCCGAAUAGAAUGUUGUCCCUGAUAUUCCCAGACAGGAUCCAGGCUGUUUGAGGAACAUAUGCUUUGCUCCCGCUGACCUUGACAGUCCCCUCUUGCUUUGGCAUCUCCCCAAGUAUGCAUGACAAUAGACUGGAUUUUCCAGAGCCGACCAUCCCGCAGAUAGCUACUUUCAUCCCUCUCUUUACUUUUAACUCUACAUCAAUUAGAGUCGGAGAAGUGGUCUCAAGUUCCCAGCUGAAUGUUCCUUGAUUGAUCUCCACAGCAUAGCACGUGUUGCUUAUUGGCACUUGUGUAACUGCAUCACAUUUCAAUUCUUCUUCUUGUAGGUACUUUGCUACUCUAUCUACUGAAACUUUCCCUUGAGCAAACACUGAAAGCAAGUCAGGAAGUGUGAAGAUUGGAUCUUGUAGCAUACGGAAUGUUGCUAGGGCAGACAAAACACUACCAGCAGUUAGAGGAAUCCCCAUCAAUAUGCAUGAGCCAAAUGUUACGGAGGAUAUGAAUGCAGGUGCCCCCCAAAACACAAGUGUUGUCAGAGCUGACAACCUCACAGAUCUCCAUAGCCACUUGUACUCCUCACUUCGUAAAGCUUCUAUCUUUUGAAGGAAUUGACUGGAUAUACUUAUGAUGAAUACCAGUUGCAUCAAUGCAAAAGCGCCCAUCCAGAAGCAAGGGAUAUAUAAUUUGGGGCUUACUGGAGGAAUUGUGGAGCAAGCCACCGUGGUGGAGCCUCCCGUGCGUCCGACUGGGAGUCGUCAUGGGAACAAAGUAAGCCCAGGCUCCCUGUGUCCAUGGCAUUGUGUGCCACCGUUGCGACUAGAGGGAGAGGGAGGGAGAGAGAGAGAGGAAGAGACUCUUUGUGACAGAGGUUGAAUAUAAAUAGAGACUGGAGGAGGACCCAAUGGCGGUAAGUCAAGUCACAUUUAAAAAAAAAUGCUGCCACUUCUAUUUGUGCUACUUUAUCAUAAAAAAGAGCAGGAGUCUAGUUUCUGGGAAAUUUCCUCCUCCCCAAGUUUCCAUGACCCUGCUGAUCAUGGGAUUAUUGUUCUGAUAAAUCCUGGUGCGGAUGACGGCGACAUGCACUGACACGGACACUGACACUAUAUGGCGGCUAAUACCUAAUAUAUACCAAGGCACUGCCUCCAACGGCCAAACGCAUAUGGACAAUAUCUGGAGCAUUCCAGGAAUGUUCAUUGCCCGUGCUAUAAUCUGCAGCCGCGACCAUCGCCAGCGCUGCGAGCAACGACUUUUAGGAGAACAGAGACAAGGGAUUCGGUGAGGUGCAUGCUGCGUUGGCACUUCCCACCUACUCGUCAAUUGUUGUUUGUGACGACCAGCGCUGGUCAUGCAUGGUCGUGCCAUGCUCGUCAAAGUUAAUGUAUACUAUAUAAUGUGAAAAUAUCUCUAAUGGAACUUUAGAGGUAAAAGCUUAAAAAUCUCUUAUUUGUUUGGUGGGACUGGAAGUUUUAAUGGAUGCCGAAUUGGAGUUCGGAUGGCCAACUCCCAUCGUAGAAUUGUAGUGGGAUGAGCAUUGUGUUUUAAGUUAAAGAUCAUCACAAUAGUUCUAUCUUGACAUAUGAUACGAUU